rnacentral:tRNA from 1 species
GGCCCUGGGGUGUAACACGUGAGGUUGCAAACCUCAAAAUGCAGGAUAAUACCUGCCGGGGCUU